rnacentral:rRNA from 1 species
ACCCGCUGAACUUAAGCAUAUUACUAAGCGGAGGAAAAGAAACUAACGAAGAUUGCCUCAGUAGCGGCGAGUGAAGCGGCAACAGCUCAAGUUUAGAAUCUGUGGCCAUAUCGGUCACCGAAUUGUAAUCUAAAGGGGCUAACAAAAGGGAAGGUUGAGGCAUAAGUUCCUUGGAAUAGGACGUCAUAGAGGGUGAAAACCCCGUAUGUAGCCUCCGCCGACCUGAAUGUUGACCUUCUAAGAGUCGGGUUGUUUGGGAUUGCAGCCCUAAAUGGGAGAUAAACUUCUUCUAAAGCUAAAUAUCUAUGGGAAACCGAUAGCGAACAAGUACUGUGAAGGAAAGGUGAAAAGAACUUUGAAAAGAGGGUUAAAAGACUUGAAAUCGUUGAGAAGGAAGCGGUAGAAGUGGAUUUAAGUUAGCCAGGAAUUAAGCCACGCAAGGAACCAGCUUGUAGCGGUUAUGUACGUUAUUGGCUACCUGUUACAAAGUAAUGGCACUUUGUGGUGAUUUCCUGGCUAAAGGGCAGAACCAGGUCUACUAUUUCUUGCUGUAAUCAGUUGGAGUAAAGUCCGUACCUAGUACGAAUACUCCUUCCUAAACAGCAAGGUGGCCUGAGGAUUAUUCAGGUUCUGCCACAACGGCUUC